GAUGAACGCUGGCGGCGUGCUUAACACAUGCAAGUCGAACGAAGCAUUUAGAACAGAUUACUUCGGUUUGAAGUUCUUUAUGACUGAGUGGCGGACGGGUGAGUAACGCGUGGGUAACCUGCCUUGUACUGGGGGAUAGCAGCUGGAAACGGCUGGUAAUACCGCAUAAGCGCACAAUGUUGCAUGACAUGGUGUGAAAAACUCCGGUGGUAUAAGAUGGACCCGCGUCUGAUUAGCUAGUUGGUGAGAUAACAGCCCACCAAGGCGACGAUCAGUAGCCGAGCUGAGAGGGUGACCGGACACAUUGGGACUGAGACACGGCCCAGACUCCUACGGGAGGCAGCAGUGGGGAAUAUUGCACAAUGGAGGAAACUCUGAUGCAGCGACGCCGCGUGAGUGAAGAAGUAAUUCGUUAUGUAAAGCUCUAUCAGCAGGGAAGAUAGUGACGGUACCUGACUAAGAAGCUCCGGCUAAAUACGUG
rnacentral:rRNA from 1 species